AUUGAACGCUGGCGGCAUGCUUUACACAUGCAAGUCGAACGGCAGCGCGGGCUUUGGCCUGGCUGCGAGUGGCGAACGGGUGAGUAAUACAUCGGAACGAGCCCAGUAGUGGGGGAGAGCUCGGCGAAAGCCGGAUUAAUAAAGCAUACGACCUGAGGGGGAAAGCGGGGGAUCUUCGGAACUCGCGCUAUUGGAGCGGCCGAUGGCAGAUUAGCUAGUUGGUGGGGUAAAGGCCUACCAAGGCGACGAUCUGUAGCUGGUCUGAGAGGAUGACCAGCCACACUGGGACUGAGACACGGCCCAGACUCCUACGGGAGGCAGCAGUGGGGAAUUUUGGACAAAGGGUGAAAGCCUGAUGCAGCAAUGCCGCGUGUGUGAUGAAGGCCUUCGGGUUGUAAAGCACUUUUGGCGGGAACGAAAAGGACUGUGCCAAUACCACGGUUCGAUGACGGUACCCGCAGAAUAAGCAACGGCUAACUACGUG
rnacentral:rRNA from 1 species